UGGGAAUAUUGGACAAUGGGCGAAAGCCUGAUCCAGCAAUGCCGCGUGAGUGAUGAAGGCCUUAGGGUUGUAAAGCUCUUUUACCAGGGAUGAUAAUGACAGUACCUGGAGAAUAAGCUCCGGCUAACUCCGUGCCAGCAGCCGCGGUAAUACGGAGGGAGCUAGCGUUGUUCGGAAUUACUGGGCGUAAAGCGCACGUAGGCGGCCAUUCAAGUCAGAGGUGGAAGCCCGGGGCUCAACCCCGGAACUGCCUUUGAAACUAGAUGGCUUGAAUCUUGGAGAGGCGAGUGGAAUUCCGAGUGUAGAGGUGAAAUUCGUAGAUAUUCGGAAGAACACCAGUGGCGAAGGCGACUCGCUGGACAAGUAUUGACGCUGAGGUGCGAAAGCGUGGGGAGCAAAACAGGAUUAGAUACCCUGGUAGUCCACGCCGUAAACGAUGAUAACUAGCUGUCCGGGUUCAUGGAACUUGGGUGGGCGCAGCUAACGCAUUAAGUUAUCCGCCU
rnacentral:rRNA from 1 species